AAUGAACGUUGGCGGCGUGGAUUAGGCAUGCAAGUCGAGCGUGAUCGGUUCCCUCACCUUGCUUUCUCGGUGGAGAAGGCGCGGUGAGGGGACCGUGAAAGCGGCGAAAGGGAGAGUAACGCGUAGUUACGUACCCCGGGGACCGGAAUAGCCACGGGAAACUGUGGGUAAUGCCGGAUAACAUCUUCGGAUCAAAGGUGUGAUUCCGCCCUGGGAGCGGACUGCGUUGUACUAGCUUGUUGGUAGGGUAAUGGCCUACCAAGGCUAUGAUGCAUAGCGGGUGUGAGAGCAUGACCCGUCUCACUGGGACUGAGACACUGCCCAGACACCUACGGGUGGCUGCAGUCGAGAAUCUUCGGCAAUGGACGCAAGUCUGACCGAGCGACGCCGCGUGUGGGAUGAAGGCCUUCGGGUUGUAAACCACUGUCGUAGAGGAGGAAAUUGGCUGGGGUUCUCCCCAGUCAUUGACCUAUUCUAGGAGGAAGGACGGGCUAAGUACGUGCCAGCAGCCGCCGUAAU
rnacentral:rRNA from 1 species